AAUUAGGAUUUGGUUUAGAAUUAGGAUUAGGAUUUUGGAUUGAUUUAAGAUUUAGUUAGGAUUAAAACUUGAUUAGAGUUAGAAUUAGGAUUUUAGAUUUUAUUUAAGAUUUGAUUAGGAUUAGGAUUUGGUAUUGCUUAGAGCUUAUUUAGGAUUUGUUUAGAGUUUGACUAAGGUUUGUCUAGGAUUUGGUUAAGGUUUAGUUAGAAUUUAGUGUUUGGUUUAGAGUUUGGUUUGGUUAGGAUUUAGUUACGGUUUAGGAUUUGUCUAAGGUUUGUCUAGGAUUUGGUUAGGGCUUAUUUAGAAUUUGUAUAAGAUUUUACUAAGAUUUGUUUAGGAUUUGGUUAGGGCUUAUUUAAGAUUUGAUUAAGGUUUAUUUAAGAUUUGACUAAGAUUUGUUUAAUGUUUGUUCAAGAUUUAGUUAGGACUUAUUUAGGAUUUGACUAGGAUUUAUUUAGGAUUUGAUUAGAAUUUGUCUAAGAUUUAAUUAGGACCAUUUAGGAUUUGACUAAGGUUUGAUUAAGGUUUGACUAGGAUUUAAUUAAGAAAUUUAUUUUAAUAUUUUAUUAAUAUUUCUAUUUUAGUAUAUUUUUGAAUUUUUAUGUUAUUUUUUU
rnacentral:lncRNA from 1 species